rnacentral:rRNA from 1 species
GAUAAACGCUGGCGGCGUGCCUAAUGCAUGCAAGUCGAACGGGUCGCAGCUUCGGCUGUGGUCAGUGGCGGACGGGUGAGGAACACGUACGCAACCUGCCCUCUGGUGGGGAAUAACCCUUCGAAGAGGGCGUAAUGCCGCAUCCGCUCACCUGGGUAAGGCUGGGUGAGGAAAGCCCGUGAGGGCGCUGGAGGAGGGGCGUGCGGCCGAUUAGCUAGUUGGUGGGGUAACGGCCGUCCCAAGGCGGUGAUCGGUAGCUGGUCUGAGAGGAUGAUCAGCCACACUGGGACUGAGAGACGGCCCAGACUCCUACGGGAGGCAGCAGCAGGGGAUCGUUGCGCAAUGGGCGAAAGCCUGACGCAGCAACGCCGCGU